rnacentral:rRNA from 1 species
UACGUAGGGGGCAAGCGUUGUCCGGAUUUAUUGGGCGUAAAGAGCGUGUAGGCGGCUAGAUAGGUCCGUUGUGAAAACUCGAGGCUCAACCUCGAGACGCCGAUGGAAACCAUCCAGCUAGAGUCCGGAAGAGGAGAGUGGAAUUCCCGGUGUAGCGGUGAAAUGCGCAGAUAUCGGGAGGAACACCAGCGGCGAAGGCGGCUUUCUGGACCAAUACUGACGCUGAGACGCGAAAGCGUGGGGAGCAAACAGG